rnacentral:lncRNA from 10 species
UUGGACUUCUAGCCUCCAGCACUCUGAGAAAAUAAUUUCCUGUUACUUAAGCCACUCAGUCUGUGGUAUUUUGUUAUGGUAGUUCAAGUAGAUUAAUACACCUUUCUUCAAAGCUUAUUUAGGUAUUCCUCAGCCAAGAAACCCUCCUUCUGGGCACAAAAACCUGAACAACCACUUCAUUCUCAAGUUUCAAGGGAGUUCAGGUCCCAGAAAAGCUGUGAAAUUCAAUUUAAAAACCCCAAGGAACUUGGGGCUGGGGAUAGGGAGGUGCUCAAAGCUUAUUGUAUGCAGUAUUUUCAAACUGGGUCCACCACAGGUAACUGAAACCACAGAAAGCAAAACUGCAGACAAGAGUGGACUACUGCAUUUAAAAGUUCUAGAUAUUGAGAAGUCCAAGAUUAAGGCAAUGGCAUUGAUGAGAGCCUUCUUGCUGGGUCCUGAAGAGGGGAGGAAUACCAUGUCCUCACAUGGCAGAAAGCGGAAGAGCAAAAAGAAAGAGAAAGAGAGAAAAGAGAGAGAGAGCAAAAUCCCUCCAUCAAGCCCUUUAUAAUGGCAUUAGUCCAUUCAUGAGAGCAGAGCAUUCAUGUUCUAAACAUCUCCCACCAGACCUCACCUUCCAACACUGUUGCAUCGGGGAUGGAUUUUCAACAUGACUUUUGAAGGGGACAAAAGCAUUCAAACCACAGCAAUUAGAAAAUGCACGUGGUAUAUAUUAAGUGACAAAAACCUAAACGAAUUUAGUGUAAACUGUUCUAAUGUUUGUCUAUCUUCCUUUCUGAGAACAAACAAUCGAUUCCAAUGAUUUUGGAUAACCACAUCGUGAAGUGGCUCUUUUUUCAAGGCUUGAAACAACAAAACUGAGGGAGUGAAUUAAGGGCAAAAAUCUACUUUUAAUUUAAGAAUUUAUAUGAGUGACUGGAGCACAGAGGGCAUUUAUAAGGGUGCUUACUAGGGAAGGGGGCAUCGAGUCACCACUGCUUUGGUCAAAUUGUACUUCAGUCAACCAAAUCUUCAUGGGUUCAUGGAACAAAUCAAGUAAUUGGGGAUCCAGCAGAAGUAAAGCACAACAAUCUAAAAGAAUAAUGGACCCACUGCCCAUUACUGACUAUACAUUGUAAAUAACCAGUCCAUGGAUGUGUCCCUGCAUUGGAACCCAAGAUUAAGAUUUGGAUAUGGAUGAUGUAUGCUUAUAUAAGUCUUUUUACUUGUUUGUCUACACUGUCUUAAUAAAUCAGUCUUUUUUUUCUACAUGCCUUGUGGAAAGUAUACUUCAUUUCAUCAAAAUAAAUAAGUAGGCUAGGGAGAUUUUGGAUAAAUUAGUCCUUAAAAUUAUCAAUUUAACCCAGAAAACACUUUAUAACCUGAUGUGGUUUGGCUGUUUCCCCACCCAAAUCUCAUCUUGAAUUGUAGUUCCCAGAAUUCCCAUGUGUUGUGUGAGGGGCCCAGUGGAAGGUAACUGAAUCAGGAGGAUGGGUCUUUCCUGUGCUGUUCUUGUGGUAAUGGAUAAGUCUCAUGAGAUCUGAUAGUUUUAUAAUGGGGAGUUCCCCUGCACACACUCUCUUGCUUGAUGCCAUGUAAGACAUGACUUUUGCUCCUCCUGUCUUCCGCCAUGAUUGUGAAGCCUCCUCAGCCAUGUAGAACUGUGAGUUCAUUAAACCCC